CGAAAGCCUGACGGAGCAAUACCGCGUGAGGGAGGAAGGCUCUUGGGUUGUAAACCUCUUUUCUCAGGGGAGAACAAAAUGACGGUACCUGAGGAAUCAGCAUCGGCUAACUCCGUGCCAGCAGCCGCGGUAAUACGGAGGAUGCAAGCGUUAUCCGGAAUGAUUGGGCGUAAAGCGUCCGCAGGUGGCAUUGAAAGUCUGCUGUCAAAGAGUCUGGCUCAACCAGAUAAAGGCAGUGGAAACUACAAAGCUAGAGUAGGUUCGGGGCAGAGGGAAUUCCUGGUGUAGCGGUGAAAUGCGUAGAGAUCAGGAAGAACACCGGUGGCGAAAGCGCUCUGCUGGGCUGUAACUGACACUGAGGGACGAAAGCUAGGGGAGCGAAUGGGAUUAGAUACCCCAGUAGUCCUAGCCGUAAACGAUGGAUACUAGGUGUUGCUUGUAUCGACCCGAGCAGUACCGUAGCUAACGCGUUAAGUAUCCCGCCUGGGGAGUACGCAGGCAACUGUGAAACUCAAAGGAAUUGACGGGGGCCCGCACAAGCGGUGGAGUAUGUGGUUUAAUUCGAUGCAACGCGAAGAACCUUACCAGGGCUUGACAUGUCGCGAAUCCUUGUGAAAGCAGGGAGUGCCUUCGGGAGCGCGAACACAGGUGGUGCAUGGCUGUCGUCAGCUCGUGUCGUGAGAUGUUGGGUUAAGUCCCGCAACGAGCGCAACCCUCGUUUUUAGUUGCCAUCAUUAAGUUGGGCACUCUAGAGAGACUGCCGGUGACAAACCGGAGGAAGGUGGGGAUGACGUCAAGUCAGCAUGCCCCUUACGUCCUGGGCUACACACGUACUACAAUGCUACGAACAGAGGGCAGCUAACCAGCGAUGGCAAGCUAAUCCCGGAAAUCGUAGCUCAGUUCAGAUCGCAGGCUGCAACUCGCCUGCGUGAAGUUGGAAUCGCUAGUAAUUGCAGGUCAGCAUACUGCAGUGAAUUCGUUCCCGGGCCUUGUACACACCGCCCGUCACACCAUGGAAGCUGGUAGUGCCCGAAGUCAUUACCCCAACCUUUCGGGGAGGGGGAUGCCUAAGGCAGGA
rnacentral:rRNA from 1 species